rnacentral:rRNA from 1 species
ACUCAAAUGAAUAGACGGGGACCCGCACAAGCGGUGGAGCAUGUGGUUUAAUUCGAGGCUACGCGAAGAACCUUACCCAGGCUUGACAUGUAGUUGAAUAACCGUGAAAGCGGUUAGGCCCGCAAGGGACAAUUACACAGGUGCUGCAUGGCUGUCGUCAGCUCGUGCUGUGAAGUGUUGGGUUAAGUCCCGCAACGAGCGCAACCUUUAUUAUUAGUUGGCAUCAGGUCAAGCUGGCCACUCUAAUGAGACUGCCGGUGAUAAACUGGAGGAAGGAGGAGACGACGUCAAGUCAGUAUGGCCCUUAUGCCUGGGGCUACACACGUGCUACAAUGGCCACUACAAAGGGCUGCAAACCCGCGAGGGGGAGCUAAUCCCAAAAAAGUGGCCCCAGUUCAGAUAGGAGGCUGCAACUCGCCUCCUUGAAGUCGGAAUCGCUAGUAACGGUAGAUCAGCUACGCUACCGUGAAUACGUUCCCGGGUCUUGUACACACCGCCCGU